UAGUCAUAUGCUUGUCUCAAAGAUUAAGCCAUGCAUGUCUAAGUAUAAGCUACUUUAUACGGUGAAACUGCGAAUGGCUCAUUAAAUCAGUUAUAGUUUGACUGACAGUGCGAUACUACAUGGAUAACCGUGGUAAAUCUAGAGCUAAUACAUGCAGAAGUGCCCGACUUCGGGAGGGCAGCGUUUAUUAGAUCAAAACCAACGUCCGGCAACGGAGCAGGUGGCGAGUCAUGGUAACUAGCAGAUCGCCUGCGGGCGACGCGUCAUUGAAAUUU
rnacentral:rRNA from 1 species